UACGAAGGGGGCUAGCGUUGCUCGGAAUGACUGGGCGUAAAGGGCGCGUAGGCGGCUUGCAUAGUCAGAUGUGAAAUUCCUGGGCUUAACCUGGGGGCUGCAUUUGAUACGUGUGGGCUUGAGUGCGGAAGAGGGUCGUGGAAUUCCCAGUGUAGAGGUGAAAUUCGUAGAUAUUGGGAAGAACACCGGUGGCGAAGGCGGCGACCUGGUCCGUGACUGACGCUGAGGCGCGAAAGCGUGGGGAGCAAACAGG
rnacentral:rRNA from 1 species